UACGAAGGGGGCUAGCGUUGUUCGGAAUUACUGGGCGUAAAGGGCGCGUAGGCGGCGUGUCAAGUCAGGCGUGAAAGCCCCGGGCUCAACCUGGGAACCGCGCUUGAGACUGGCAUGCUCGAGUUCGGGAGAGGAUGGUGGAAUUCCCAGUGUAGAGGUGAAAUUCGUAGAUAUUGGGAAGAACACCGAUGGCGAAGGCAGCCAUCUGGACCGACACUGACGCUGAGGCACGAAAGCUAGGGGAGCGAACGGG
rnacentral:rRNA from 1 species